rnacentral:rRNA from 1 species
AGUGAACGCUGGCGGUAGGCCUAACACAUGCAAGUCGAACGGCAGCAUAGGAGAGCUUGCUCUCUGGGUGGCGAGUGGCGGACGGGUGAGGAAUACAUCGGAAUCUACUCUGUCGUGGGGGAUAACGUAGGGAAACUUACGCUAAUACCGCAUACGACCUACGGGUGAAAGCAGGGGACCUUCGGGCCUUGCGCGAUUGAAUGAGCCGAUGUCGGAGUAGCUAGUUGGCGGGGUAAAGGCCCACCAAGGCGACGAUCCGUAGCUGGUCUGAGAGGAUGAUCAGCCACACUGGAACUGAGACACGGUCCAGACUCCUACGGGAGGCAGCAGUGGGGAAUAUGGGACAAUGGGCGCAAGCCUGAUCCAGCCAUACCGCGUGGGUGAAGAAGGCCUUCGGGUUGUAAAGCCCUUUUGUUGGGAAAGAAAUCCAGCUGGCUAAUACCCGGUUGGGAUGACGGUACCCAAAGAAUAAGCACCGGCUAACUUCGUGCCAGCCGCCGCAGUAA